rnacentral:rRNA from 1 species
GACGAAGGGGGCUAGCGUUGUUCGGAAUUACUGGGCGUAAAGCGCGCGUAGGCGGUUCUUCAAGUCAGGCGUGAAAGCCCCGGGCUUAACCCGGGAAUAGCGCUUGAUACUGUGGGACUUGAGUCCGGGAGAGGAUAGUGGAAUUCCCAGUGUAGAGGUGAAAUUCGUAGAUAUUGGGAAGAACACCAGCGGCGAAGGCGGCUAUCUGGACCGGUACUGACGCUGAGGCGCGAAAGCGUGGGGAGCAAACAGG